rnacentral:rRNA from 1 species
UACGUAGGGGGCAAGCGUUGUCCGGAAUUAUUGGGCGUAAAGAGCGCGUAGGCGGUCCGAUAAGUCGGCUGUGAAAGUCAGGGGCUCAACCCUUGGAAGCCGGCCGAUACUGUCGGACUAGAGUCCGGAAGAGGCGAGUGGAAUUCCUGGUGUAGCGGUGGAAUGCGCAGAUAUCAGGAGGAACACCAAUGGCGAAGGCAGCUCGCUGGGACGUGACUGACGCUGAGACGCGAAAGCGUGGGGAGCGAACAGG